ensembl:lncRNA
AAAAGAAGGGUGGAAGUGAUCAGGCAUGGAUCAGGAAUUAUCUCCACUAUAUCGUCAGGACAGUCAUGAUAAAAAUCCUCAUGCCGUCCAACCUGUUAGCAUCCAGCCUGUGGUCAUUGUCCAACCCUCUGAGUGCAUGAUCCAAGAACCACCAGCUGAGCCUGUGCCGGAUUACAUGUGUUACUCCAAAUUUACAAUUUUUUUCUGCUUUGUAUGUCUGGGAAGUGCCGCUCUUUAUUUCUCUAGAGCUACUCGCACUGCUAACAGUACUGGACAGAGGACUAAAGCAGUGAGAAACUCUCAAAUUGCACUCGUCCUGAACCAUUUAGCCCUUGUGGUGGGCCUCAUCUUGACUGCAUCACUCAUCUUCUAUAAAUUGCAGAACAAAUGAUUGAAAAAUGUAUUAAGCAUAUUGAGUUUUGUACUCUCACAUGCAAUGUUUUCAUAAUGCUGACUGAAUAAUGCUGUACUGCGUUUAGCUAACUGAGACUUGUCAUAGCACUUGCAUAUCAUUGCUCUCUUGUUGAUCCAUUGUCUUCAUUUGUAAGUCGCUUUGGAUAAAAGUGUCUGCUAAAUGACUAAAUGUAAAUGAAUUAUUGUGAGAUUUUUUGUUCCGUUUUCAGAUUUUCAUAUUGCAUAAAAUAUAUUGUACUAUUAAUAUAUGCAAAAUCUUAUUUUUCAUAUUUUA